AAAUGUAAUUUAGAGGCACAAAUAUUACUGCAUUUUCAGCUUCUCUGGCGAUGGAAAGAAGUUUUGAUGGCAUUGUCUUGGCUAAGUGUCUCUUCCUCAUCCUCACUUCCAUUGCUUCACCUCCACUCUUCAAUUCCAAAACCCUUCUUCUACCCUCCAAGAACAUCCUUAUUCUCACUCUCAACUUCAAUCUCCACAGCUCCAAAUUCUUACUUUCCUUCUCUUUCCACCAUAUCUUGCUCAACCAACUCCAACUCCAACUCCAUCUCUGCUUCUGCCAUUGACGAUUCUCCUCCACCCACCGUUUUCAUCAAAGGGCUGUCUCUAUCAACAUCAGAAGGGCGUUUAAAGAGGGCAUUUUCGGAGUUUGGAGAGGUUACUCGAGUGAAAAUUCUUAUAGAUACAUUUUCCGGGCAGUCGUUAGGAUUUGCUUAUGUUUGGUUUGCUAAGGAACAUUUUGGUCAAUUAGCUAUCAGGCAGAUGAAUGGGAAGUUCUUUCAUGGCAGGUAUAUCUUUGUAGGAAAGCCUAGACAACCCAGAAAACGAAAGACAAUGAGCCAUUAUAAGUUUUAACCAUGUUAAUCUUCAGAUGUUAGUUGAAGACAUAGCUUGGUGGCAACCACAUUUCUCUUUAAUGUGAAGGUCUUAAGUUGGAACCUCUUUCAUCCAACUAAGGAAAAUUUUGAUGGAGCAAAAGAAGUUUUGUUGGAGCAUUUUCAGCAGGAUUCAAAGAGGGAAAUUUAGCAUAUGAAGAAGAGACACUUGGCAUCAUUAAUUAUGUUGACAAAGAGUGAUGAGGUGGCUAAAAUCAAAGAUAUUGGACUUCAUUUUGGAGUAAAUUCUAGAGGAAAAAAUGAGGGUUUCACAUGUAGAAUUUUGGGAGGGCAUUUGUGUACUUUGGGAAAAAAAGAUUUUGUACCCUAACUGAAAAAAGAAAAAGGACAGCCUCCAUUUUACCUCAUUCAGCCAUAUUGGAGAGAGAGAAUUAUUCAAGAGCUAAAAAGAGAGAAAGAAAUACCCAAAAGAGAUAAUGAAGAAGAAGAGAAAGAAGGAGGAGAAAAAGUAGAGAAGAGAGAAGGACAAGGAAGGAGGAUUCAUUUACAUAGUUUAUUCUUUCCCUUUACUCUUUUGUAUUUCUAUUUUUCUCUUUCUCUCUAUUUGUAAACUCAUGGAUAUGUUGAUUAUGGGUAUUUUUGUGUUUUUGAGCAUGAACUAAUUUUCUUGUAGCUAGAGUUAUUGAUGAACUUGGAUUGUGGAUUUAAUUGA